rnacentral:lncRNA from 1 species
CUUGAUAUUAUCAUCAUAGGGCAUAGUGUCACUUUUCUAGAGGGAGAAGAGUCCAUAGUUUUCAAUAGAUCUUUAAAACUGCUUAUGUUCCUCCAACCAAAUUUAUGAUCUACGGUUCUAAGAUAUCUAGAGGUCUAGUUAUUCAUUCCACAAAUGUUUACUAAGACCCUAAUAAAUAAAGGUAGUUGCUUCCUAGACAAAUCAGACCAAGUAACCUGCACUUCUGGUACUUACCCCUCAUGCAUUAGGUAUACCAUAAAUCAGCACAUAUUCAUUUCAUUAAAUACUCAAGAAGGUGACAGACUUUGAUAAGCCUGUAAAGGAACCUUCAGACGGUGCCACACAGUGUAAGCGGGAGUGAACCGCAUUAGAGGAGUCAGAGAAGGUCUCUUGGUUGAGGGUACACACAGGUGGGACACGAAGCAGAGGGAGAUGCGGUUCAGAGGAAGGAGCAGGUGGAGAUCCGGGGGAAGCUGUCCCGACUGUCAGCAGCGGGUGUGAAUACUUGGCAAGCCAGAGUCCAGCCCGCUGGACAAACAAAACAGGCCAGUGUGGCAACAGGUAACGAGCUAUGAAAUAGCCUGGAAAGUACUGUGGGGUGCAGAUUCCCCAGGGCCUUAUAAUCACGGUAAUUCUGUAUGUUCACUGAGCAGCGUUGUUAACUCCAAAGGGGGAACCACUGCGAUAGACUUAACAGUUUAUUUGCAGAAGUUUGCCCGGCCUCUGCACAGGUGAGGUCCUGGAGGGCACCAAUCAGAGGCAAACAGAUCAUUUCUUCCUCCCUUCAAUAGUUCAUCCAGCCAUUCUGCUACUGGGUCGCUUGGUUCUUGUUCCAGAUGCCCCAAAGACAUGGAGGCCCAAGACCAGAAUAGGGAGACAGUUCAUUGAGCAGGCGGGGAUUCCAUGGCAAUCUGCACACCACCUGUUGGAGGCCAGCAUUUGCUGUGAUUGGUUGUGCCCAUUCUGCAGGGUUAAAUAUUCCAAUGUCCCCUUUGAUUACAGAACAAGUGCAGGUUAAGUUAUGGUUUUAAUUUUUAUCUUGAGAUCUAUCUUGUCUGGCUUGCAUCCACAAAUUCACAUACAAGUACAUGGCUUUUAUUAAUCCCUGGUUUUAACUUUAAAUUCUCUGUCUUGCAUUUUUUUCUUCUUUUAAGUUUAAAUAUAUAUAUUUUCUUAAUGGAGAAGACAGAAGCAAAGUAAAUGUUAAGUAACAUUACCUUCUCGUUGUCAAUGAUUAACCUAUCAUUUCUCCCAAGUUCUGUAUUUAUCUCUUCCUUGUUCCCUU